UACGUAGGAGACGAGCGUUGUCCGGAGUUACUGGGCGUAAAGGGUGCGCAGGCGGCCCUGCGCGUCGCGAGUGAAAUCUCCCGGCUCAACUGGGAGGGUGGUCGCGAGACGGCAGGGCUUGAGGCUCGGUGAGGGGCGUGGAAUUCCCGGUGUAGUGGUGAAAUGCGUAGAGAUCGGGAGGAACACCAGUGGCGAAGGCGGCCCUCUGGGCCGGGCCUGACGCUGAGACGCGAGGGCGUGGGGAGCGAACGGG
rnacentral:rRNA from 1 species